rnacentral:lncRNA from 1 species
AGUCAAGGAAGAGUGAAGUGACUUGGGUGAGCAGCAGAGUUGAGGGUUGUGGUCUUUCUGAUGUGCAGUCUCCAUGAGACCAGAUCCAGAACAAUCCAUGCCCCACCGCACUAGCACACAGCUGGUUCCCAUUCCCCAGGCGUGGGAAACAGCCGGGCUGGUUGGAGGCCUGCCAGGGUGGGAGGUCUGGUCACCAGGUGCCCCAGGACAGGGAGGAGGGGGCAAAGCAGGGGGUCCGGCAUUCAGAUUCCCAUACUGGUCUCACCGUUUAUCAUCCGUGUGACCUUGACAAGUGCCUUCUCCUCCCUCGAUGCAGUUUCCCCGUUUGAAAACAGGUGUGAUGUUGUUAAAACCUCCCUGGAGUGUUACAUUAAACGAGGUAGUGGAUGUACAGCUCUUCGUAAAGUGUAAAGUGAUAGAGAGGGUAACAAUAGACACUCUUCCAUAACAAUAGCUGGAAUAAUCGCCUCUGCUGUGGGGACCUCAGUGGCUAGUUUAGGGGUCAUCUUUCCCCGUGAGAUGAGGAAUUACUCCCCUGUGACACACGAGGACAGAAGGCAUUUGCUUUGGUUACAGAGUGAGGGGACUGGCAUUGCUGAGCCUGUGUGCUCCCACGUCACGUGGUCCCUGGCAGGUCCCCACUUUGCCCCUGUCUGACCAAAGCUCCUCCCAGGAAGGGAGACUUUAGGCCCCAAACUUAGCAGGUCCAGACCAACUCCUGAUUGGCUGGCCUAGCCCAGUGCCUGGCACAUCAUAGGUCAAAACAUGCUCGUGGAAUAAAUGCUCAUGAAUGGCGAAUGUGGGGUCUUCCCACACCCUUGACUCAUAAGUUUAAAAUCUACCCAAAAACCCCAGCAUUGCAGAGACAUGCCCAGGCAGACAGGCCCCUCUGUGGAAAGAGCUGUUUGUCAUGGCUAAAGGGAAGAUUAACCAAAGGAAAGGGGACGGCAAGCCAGCCUGUGUCGCAGCGGCUGGUGACCUGGAUUCCUGCCCCUCUUCUGGACCGAGUGGCUGUGCCAGUGUGGGCAUGGGGCCCAAGGCUGCCGGCCUCCCAGGCAUUCACAUUCCACUCCCAGGAGCCCACAGCCUCUAGUGCUGCAGAGCUCCUGCCAGCCUGAUUGGAGCAGCUUAUGACAUGACAGUGGCCAGAAUGACACAGACCUCAGUCCCAUAACCGUCCCUCCAGCUCCCAUUUUCCGAGAGCCUGCUAGGUCCUACACAGAGUCCGGGGGGCGCAUUUCGCAUAUAGCAGCUCUAAUCAUCACGGAAGCCCUGCCAGGGAAGAGGAUGGGGCAUGAAAGACCAGUGGAAGAAAUGGGAAUUCCUCAGGCUGAGGGAAUAAAAGGUCAUACUGUUAACUGCUCACUCUGCUGCCUCGAGGCUGGACUUUCAGACAUCCUACUUCUCAGCCCGGGAUUCUCUGUGCUGGACUCCACUUCUCACAUCUACAGGCCCUUUUGGGUGGUUGAUGAAGGACCUGGAAGCUGAUUUCCUAAGAGUGAAUAACUUGGUGCCCUGAAGCUGACCCCUCAUCCACUAUAAACUGUCGAUGCUGGGUUGGUAUAGUGCCUUUGGAAAGCAGUAAAGCAAUUACCAGCAAAAGGCAUGAAGCUCUUCCUCCCCCUUUGACCCAGUAAUCUCUUUCCCUGGGAAAUUAUUCCAAGGAAAUUAUCCAAACGAAGCCAAGUGUUAUCUGCAUACAUGUGUGCAUUGAAGUCUUUCUUUAAAGGUCAAAAACUGGGAACCACAAUAAGGAAGUGGUUUAAUAAACUGGGACAUCAACACAAUGGACAAUCAGGCCUGGAAAUCCACAGCUGUGUGACUGUGAUGGGGAAUGGAAACAUGGAGAAUGCUUCUACUACACAGUGUAUCACCACUACACUCCCACCUAACUAGCUAAUUCAACAAAUCACGCUUGUCAAGGAGAGAGAAGUCUCUCUGUUCAUGUUCAAAAUAAACUCAGCCUCUGACACCACAAAGGAACAGAAGAGAAGCUUAAAUGCAACAAACACAAUAAGCUCAAUAAUUCUUGGCUUUUGAGUUUCCAAGGCCACAGGUCCUGAUGAUGUAUGACAUUUUCUGAGAGUGAUUUUGAUGAUUGGUUAUUGAUGAUUUUCACCUUUCACACUGUACUUGUUAUUAAGCCAUCUAAUUCAUCAUAUUAAAUUUUGUUAAGAUACCUGGUGUGGUUUCUGUUUUCUGGCCAGACUCUGAUACAUACACAGACCAUGGACCCUGAUGAAUGAUAUCUCCCCCAUAAUGAUAAGUGAUUUUUUAAGACUUCAAAAUUAGUGCACCCACCAUGAUUUCAACUUAUACAAAUGUAUACUUAAGGAGGGUACAGGUAUGGCUGGUCUCCUCCAAAUUAUACUUUGUACUAGUUGCCUCUUGAUGCAUAAUAAAGUACCCUAAAGCUCAGUGUCUUGAAACAACAACUUUUAUCAUCUCACAGUUUCUGUGGGUCACAGAUCCAGGUGCAGCUUAGCUGAGUCCUCCACUUCAGCACCUCUGCAGGCUGCAGUCAAGCUGUCAGCUGAGCUGGAGUCAUCUCAAGGCUCAAUUGGGGACCCAAUACCAAGCUUACUCGAGUGGUUGCUGGCAGGAUUCAGUUCCUCGUGGACCACUGGAUUCAAGGCCCCGAUGCCCUUCACUGCCUGUGCCCUCUGUUCCUCAGCACGUUGGCCGUUCCAUGGGGCAGCCUCCAACAUGGCAGCUGCUUCAUCAGAACACAUAAGAAAGAAGUCUCGAAGAGUGUGAGCAGGAGGGGAGUCCCAGUUUUGUAUAGUCUAAUCUCAAAAGUGACAUUCCCCCACUUUUACCAUAUUUUACUCAUUAGGAGCAAGUCACCAGGUCCAGCCUACACUCAGGGGAGGGGAUUACACAAGGACGCGUGGUAUGCCUACCACAUACUUGAACAUUUAUAGCAUCUUCUCAAUAACAAAAACAGUAUUUUCUCAAGUUACUUGUCUAAUAUGGAAACUUUCUAAAUCCGUUGGUAAAUGCCCACACCCAUUUCUCUCAAGCAACAGCCCCCUGGUCCCCCUGGUCCCCCGCCCCCACCAGACUUAGUGGAAAGUCCCUGCUGGGUGAGUGAGUGGCUUUUUGCCAGAUUGGGGGUGGGGUGGGUGGCAGGAUGGAGGCAACAUGGGCACCUUCAGAGAUCAAACAUCAGAGGAGGGAGGCAACUCAGGACUCGCCUUUGAAAAAGGUUCAGUUGGUGCCUGCCCCAGGCCAUUACCAUUGCUUUAGGCUGAAUUCUUAACCAGCCCAACAAGGCCUGGCCAGAUGUGGCUCCGCCUGCUUUCUCCAAGCUCAACUCGCCUUUCUGUUCGCUCUCCACACGCUAACCACAGUGGCCUCUUCUCUGGCCUCAGACAGGCCAGGCUCUUCUUCUCC